rnacentral:rRNA from 1 species
GAUGAACGCUGGCGGCGUGCCUAAUACAUGCAAGUCGAGCGAACAGACGAGGAGCUUACUCCUUUGACGUUAGCGGCGGACGGGUGUGUCACAUGUGGAUAAUCCCCCUAUCAGACUGGGAUAACUUCGGGAAAGCGGAGCUAAUACCGGAUAAGCUGCUGAACCGCAGUGUUGAAUGGAGAAAGACGGCGUUGGGGGCACUACUCGCUGGAUCUGAGUUGGUUUGGCUGGUUGUUACGUUAACGGCUUAUCACGGGAACGAUGCGUAGGCGACUUCAGAGAGUGAUAGGCCACACGAGAGCUGGAACGCGCUCAAGGCUCCUACGGGAGGCAGCAGUAGGGAAUCGUCCGCAAUGGGCGAGAGCCUGGCGCAGCAGCGCCGCGUGUGUGAAAAAGGCCUUCGGAUCGUAAAACUCUGUUAUUAGGGAAGAACAGCUGUGUAAGUAACUGUGCACGUCGUGACGGUACCGGAUCAGAAAGCCCCGGCUAACUACGUG